rnacentral:piRNA from 1 species
UAAAAGUACAAACGAACCCUUCAGGAG